rnacentral:rRNA from 1 species
AUUGAACGCUGGCGGCAGGCCUAACACAUGCAAGUCGAGCGGAGCGGCGGACGGGUGAGUAAUGCCUAGGAAUCUGCCUGGUAGUGGGGGAUAACGUCCGGAAACGGGCGCUAAUACCGCAUCCUAUCAGAUGAGCCUAGGUCGGUUUAGCUAGUUGGUGGUGGAAAGGCCUACCACGGCGACGAUCCGUAACUAGUCUGAGAGGAUGAUCAGUCACACUGGGACUGAAAAACGGUCCAGAGGCCGACGGUGGGCAGCAGUGGGGAAGAUUGGACAAUGGGCGAAAGACUAAUCCAGCCAGGCCGCGUGUGUGAAGAAGGUCUUAGGGUUGUAAAGCACUGAAAGUAGGGAGGAGUUACCAAAAGAAUAAGCAGCGGCUGACUGCGUGACAGCAGCCGCGGUAAUAC